rnacentral:rRNA from 1 species
UCGAUUUGGAGUUUGUUGCCUUGAGUGAUGGGCUCCGAAGCUAACGCGAUAAAUCGACCGCCUGGGGAGUACGGCCGCAAGGUUAAAACUCAAAUGAAUUGACGGGGGCCCGCACAAGCGGUGGAGCAUGUGGUUUAAUUCGAUGCAACGCGAAGAACCUUACCUGGUCUUGACAUCCACAGAAUCUUGCAGAGAUGCGGGAGUGCCUUCGGGAACUGUGAGACAGGUGCUGCAUGGCUGUCGUCAGCUCGUGUUGUGAAAUGUUGGGUUAAGUCCCGCAACGAGCGCAACCCUUAUCCUUUGUUGCCAUCGGUUAGGCCGGGAACUCAAAGGAGACUGCCGUUGAUAAAGCGGAGGAAGGUGGGGACGACGUCAAGUCAUCAUGGCCCUUACGACCAGGGCUACACACGUGCUACAAUGGCGUAUACAAAGGGAGGCGACCUCGCGAGAGCAAGCGGACCUCAUAAAGUACGUCUAAGUCCGGAUUGGAGUCUGCAACUCGACUCCAUGAAGUCGGAAUCGCUAGUAAUCGUGAAUCAGAAUGUCACGGUGAAUACGUUCCCGGGCCU